rnacentral:rRNA from 1 species
AUGAACGCUGGCGGCGUGCUUCACACAUGCAAGUCGAACGGAAAGGCCCUGCUUUUGUGGGGUGCUCGAGUGGCGAACGGGUGAGUAACACGUGAGUAACCUGCCCUUGACUUUGGGAUAACUUCAGGAAACUGGGGCUAAUACCGGAUAGGAGCUCCUGCUGCAUGGUGGGGGUUGGAAAGUUUCGGCGGUUGGGGAUGGACUCGCGGCUUAUCAGCUUGUUGGUGGGGUAGUGGCUUACCAAGGCUUUGACGGGUAGCCGGCCUGAGAGGGUGACCGGCCACAUUGGGACUGAGAUACGGCCCAGACUCCUACGGGAGGCAGCAGUGGGGAAUAUUGCACAAUGGGCGGAAGCCUGAUGCAGCAACGCCGCGUGCGGGAUGACGGCCUUCGGGUUGUAAACCGCUUUCGCCUGUGACGAAGCGUGAGUGACGGUAAUGGGUAAAGAAGCACCGGCUAACUACGUG